rnacentral:rRNA from 1 species
ACGUAGGGGGCAAGCGUUGUCCGGAAUUAUUGGGCGUAAAGGGCGCGCAGGCGGCCUGUUAAGUCUGGUGUGAAAGACCACGGCUCAACCGUGGGGUUGCAUCAGAAACUGGCGGGCUUGAGUGCAGGAGAGGAGAGUGGAAUUCCCGGUGUAGCGGUGGAAUGCGUAGAGAUCGGGAGGAACACCAGUGGCGAAGGCGGGUUGCUGGGCUGUAACUGACGCUGAGGCACGAAAGUGUGGGGAUCAAACAGGA